AGUCCGUUAACCCAUCUUCGGAAGUCGAAAUGAUAACUGUUUUCUCGGCACAAAUGCCGGCAGACCUCCUGAGUUUUUCCAGCAAUUUUUGUUUUAGUGUUUGCUCUCUAGCAUCCACAGCUCUUUGUUUUAUGUUAAUGUUCUAGACCUAACCCGAGAACAGGCCCCAUACCAGGUUGGGUAAUAUGCAAUGAGAUAAAAUUAAUGGGUUCUCAGUGAAGGCAGAAUGAGGACGCUAUAAUCAUCGCGCAAUCAAAUUCCACUUUCAGGCUGUGGAAGAAAAAUGUGCAUCUAACUAGGCUUUUAAUUUUACAAAAGAGGGCACACAGGCAGAGCUGACUGAAAUAACCAAUUUUUCCAGUUUGAGGGAUGGAUCAGUAAUGAAAGUGGCACACACUUGUAUUUCAAGCACUCCAGACAUUCCAGUGAAAAAGAAAAACUCGGAAUGCUGUUCCUCUGUGGCUAACCUAAAAAUGUAAAGAUGGUGCUAAACUGAGAGAAAAAUCAAAUUAUUCUGCAAAGGAUUAUGGACAUGCUGCCAUUCUUGUCUCCCACUGGUUACGUGCUACUGCCUCAGGUUUACAAUCUCAGCCUGUGAGAAAGAAAGAAAUCUAUUGGAAAAGUGGUGCUGUAGAAGAUGAAUUGCAGCAGAUGGUUAAGGACAUCUGUACUCUUCUGAAUGAAGACCUCAAAUCCCAAGGAGCAGGCAUGGCUUUUGAUGAACGACAACAGAUGUAGAGAAAUGGUACAACUGCUGCGGUUCUACCGUUGAGAAAAUCAUUGAUCUUCUAAAGAUGCAGUUCUAUUGAUUUGAUUGCCCUGGGGGAGUCCUCCAUUGCAAACCUUCAGGGAUAUUGUGCAUAUUGAUGGUUUGCUGCAUUGUG